rnacentral:misc_RNA from 1 species
CGGUAAGGGAUAGUGGGAAACACUUCGGAGGCAAAGCGACGCAAACAACCUUUCGUCUGCACAUUGCGUCCCUCCCACUGCCACUUGUCAGGACCUGAUGUUACAAAGGCUACUCCGUAUCUAUACUUACAUUAUCUCCCACUGUCAGGCAGAGAGGUAAAAAAAUGGACCCUGAUAGAAAAGGUUUGAUGACUGGAUAAAGAAAUAGAAACAGUGCAUGUUGAUAUAGUCUGGAGGGAGUCUUGAGCAGUCAUCAUGAAUGUGAAUUUGCUUUGGGAACACUGCAUCAAGUGUGAGUUCUGUGAUGCAACUUUUGACAACAAAGAGACCCUGAAGCAGCACCUUAGACUGCACUCACGAAGAAAACCUUACAAGUGCAAUGAGUGUGGUGCCAAGUUCUCCUAUAACAGCACCCUGGAGUGGCACAAGAGGAGUCACACUGGAGAGCUGCCAUUCAAGUGUGAUGAGUGUGGUGCACAGUUCCUGCAGAAUAGCAUGCUGGUGUGGCAUAAGAGGAAACACAGGAUAGGAGAAAACUCACAAAACUCCUCCUUAGUUGUGAAUGUUACAAACAUUUAUCCUCAGCAGAACGUACAGAGUCUUCCUACUAUUUUCAGUCUCCCGAAUUUGGUGAACACAGUAAACUCUUCAACCAUCAAUGUUGCAGCCACAUGUUCAGCUGGCACUACCACUACCAUUGCACACCCAACACAAUUCCCAGUGAACGAUAUGAACCACCCUGUGUCAGUGGAGGGAAUCAUGCCAGCCAUGGUCACACAGUCUGAGGUGGUACCUGACAUGGUUACAGGUAAAAGAAAACUUGAAGGAGAAGAAGGAAUGUUUCGAUGUGAUGUGUGUGGCACAGUUUUGUUUCAUAGCUCUGAUCUGAAGGCCCACAUGCAUACCAAGCACAAUGUGGGUGAAAAUAAUCCUUUCCAUAUACUUGCCAAACAGCAGCAAGCCAGUGGUCAGUUUCUGUCGAGAAAGAAAAUUAUAGUAAUUGAAAAACGUUACAAAUGUGAUCUGUGUGGUGCUGGGUUCAACACAGAGGGUCACCUGAAGACUCAUCGCCAGAAACAUGUGGUGGAAAGGCCUUAUAAGUGUGAGAAAUGUGGCUUGACUUUCUCCGAUCAUCCAACACUGGAGUCACAUGAGCGGCGGCACCAAGCUGAGCGGCCCUACAAGUGUGAUAGAUGUGGUGCCACAUUUUUCAGAGAGAGUCACCUUUACCGACACAUCAAGAGACACACAGGAGACUUUGUUUGAUAAGAGUUACCCUUACUGACACUGAGGGACUCUCUUUAAAAUGCAGGGUACUUAAAUGCAACUUGGAGCAAAGAGUGCAAUAUUUUAUAGUAGUGAAACUUAGGAAGUGAAGGACAAACAGAAGUUUUUAAUCAAUUGGGAUGAGAAUGGUCAAUGGAAUUGCACAUGUGCUGUACAUCUUUAAAUGACAGAUUUAGUAAAAAUGCAAAUGAGAAACUUAGAACCACCUUGAGAUGCAUUAGAGAGAAAUAGAUUGUUUUAGUUUGGAAAGUUUAAGGGAUGCAGAAUUAGGUAAAAGGGAUGAAAUAUAUGAGACAAAAUCCUUCUAAGUGAACUCAGAAUUUUGCUUGACAAAGAUUGCAACACAAAGAACUAAUGACUAAGCAAAGAGAUCCAUUUGUUUAUUUUAAGAGAGAGAGAGAGAGAGAGAGAGAGAGAGAGAGAGAGAUAGAGAGAGAGAGAGAGAGAGAGAGAGAGAGAG